rnacentral:misc_RNA from 1 species
GGAACACCUUUGUUAAGUUUGGUUGUCUCUGAGUACCACUCACUGUUCUCAUCCCAUAGAUCCUUGUACUCGUCAAGAAAAUGGGUUGUGUAUUUGUCCUUCAAGGGGUCAAAGAAGGAAGUGUCGGGCUCAUUUGUUGCAAUAUAGAUGUUCCUCCCAUCUUCAAUCUUGUCACCCAAAGUUGAAAGCAGAGCAUCAGGAGAAGUAUCUGCUGCAAGAUUAGGCCAGAGCUCCUUGUUCUUUGCUUUAUCCCCUCUCUCAAUGUGAAUUGCAUCAUAAUCCCAAUUCAAUCUUGAGGCAAUUGCUGAAACAAUAUCCAUCAACCUUCUUGAUUUCCAUAUCAAACGC